rnacentral:lncRNA from 1 species
UAAGUAUUAAAAUCAUUGAAGGGGAUGGGAUUAUUGCCUAUUACUAAAGGAUGUUUGAUGGAAACCCUACCAACGUGACUGGAGAUCCCAAGAAGUUGGUUCAAAUGGACAACUAAAUCAAACAAAAUCCGAUAAAAGCACUGAAACCUACCCAUAUUCCAAGAUGAUAAUAGUGCUCCUGUAAAUUUAAGGUUAAGCAUUGGCUUUUAAUGAGAUAAGACCAUGACCUUCAUAUACAUGUAUAUAAAGUAUUACAGGGUACUUUAUUGUGUAUAUGGUAGGUGCACAUGGCAAUCACCUAGUGAGUGUGAAAUAGGGCCGUUUCUAGGAGAAUGAAGUUCAGGCUAUACUCUCCAAGUUCACUCAUGACUAACCAGGCAAGUUCACGACCAAAAUGAACACAAUAGAGAAAUUAACUCUACGAGAAAACGCAGCUGUGUUAUAUCUGUUGACUCGGUUUACAUAAACUUUCGGGGGGUUCAAGACAUCAUGUUCACCACCUGAAAAGUAAAUCCGACAGAUAUUAACAAUGAGUAGUUCAAAGCUGGAAAACGCUACUACAUCAUAUACAGUUAGUUUUUUUGCUUAUACUCUCGAAAAGUCCGUCUGUCUAGUCUACUGUUAGGUCUAGUUGUAGAGUCGGUCAUAGUCUAUCUAGUUUAGUGUUUAGAGUAAUUUCUAUUCGUGUGGGGGAUUGUUGGACCAAUUUUAUUAUAAGCCCAAUGGGCUGUGUAAUAAAUUGGUUAUGUGAAUAGAAAAUCUUUUGCAAUCCUAAUGG